AUGUUUUUAAUUUGUGUAUUAGUGAUUCUGUUUUGAGUAUCAUAUUGUUCCUAUUUCUUUUUAGUUUAAUUGAGAGCAAUGUAUUUUUUUUUAGUAAGAGUUUUAUUUUGAGACAUGUUGUUUUGAGGUUUUUAGUUUUAGUUUAAUAAAGAGUUUUAUUUAUGCUAAAGCUUUAAUUUCUGUUGUUUUUUUUAUUUCUAUUAUUUUUAAGUUCCGUUCUUCAACUUCUGUAAUUUUUCUUUUGAUGCAAUACAUUAAAUCUUCCUCUAUGCACUUUGUGUUCACCUCAAUCUUCUUGUUUUCACCCAUUUUAAUGCCAAAGCUUUUCUUUGAUUAGUUAAAUAUAUAAAUGCUCUUUAAAUCUAAGUACAUGUCUUCUAGUUAAUUUCAAUUAAAAAUAAUUCUCCGGUAGACUAGAGAAUCUAUCAUUAUCCCCGACAUAAUGUUUUUCUUUUGUUAUUCAA
rnacentral:lncRNA from 1 species